CGCCGAUGGCGGGGGAUAACUACUGGAAACGGUAGCUAAUACCGCAUAACGUCGCAAGACCAAAGAGGGGGACCUUCGGGCCUCUUGCCAUCGGAUGUGCCCAGAUGGGAUUAGCUAGUAGGUGGGGUAACGGCUCACCUAGGCGACGAUCCCUAGCUGGUCUGAGAGGAUGACCAGCCACACUGGAACUGAGACACGGUCCAG
rnacentral:rRNA from 1 species